UUAAUUGAAGAGUUUGAUCAUGGCUCAGAUUGAACGCUGGCGGCAGGCCUAACACAUGCAAGUCGAGCGGUAACAGGGGGAGCUUGCUUCCCGCUGACGAGCGGCGGACGGGUGAGUAAUGUAUGGGGAUCUGCCCGAUAGAGGGGGAUAACUACUGGAAACGGUGGCUAAUACCGCAUAAUCUCUUAGGAGCAAAGCAGGGGACCUUUUGGCCUUGCGCUGUCGGAUGAACCCAUAUGGGAUUAGCUAGUAGGUAAGGUAAUGGCUUACCUAGGCGACGAUCCCUAGCUGGUCUGAGAGGAUGAUCAGCCACACUGGGACUGAGACACGGCCCAGACUCCUACGGGAGGCAGCAGUGGGGAAUAUUGCACAAUGGGCGCAAGCCUGAUG
rnacentral:rRNA from 1 species